GCGGACGGAGCCGAAGCCAGUCGAAGAUACCAGCUGGCUGCAACUGUUUAUUAAAAACACAGCACUGUGCAAACACGAAAGUGGACGUAUACGGUGUGACGCCUGCCCGGUGCUGGAAGGUUAAUUGAUGGGGUUAUCCUUAGGGAGAAGCUCUUGAUCGAAGCCCCAGUAAACGGCGGCCGUAACUAUAACGGUCCUAAGGUAGCGAAAUUCCUUGUCGGGUAAGUUCCGACCUGCACGAAUGGCGUAAUGAUGGCCAGGCUGUCUCCACCCGAGACUCAGUGAAAUUGAACUCGCUGUGAAGAUGCAGUGUACCCGCGGCAAGACGGAAAGACCCCGUGAACCUUUACUAUAGCUUGACACUGAACAUUGAGCCUUGAUGUGUAGGAUAGGUGGGAGACUAUGAAGUGUGGACGCCAGUCUGCAUGGAGUCAACCUUGAAAUACCACCCUUUAACGUUUGAUGUUCUAACCUAGGUCCAUAAUCUGGAUCGGGGACCGUGUCUGGUGGGUAGUUUGACUGGGGCGGUCUCCUCCUAAAGAGUAACGGAGGAGCACGAAGGUUGGCUAAGCAUGGUCGGACAUCAUGCGGUUAGUGCAAAGGCAUAAGCCAGCUUGACUGUGAGAGUGACGGCUCGAGCAGGUACGAAAGUAGGUCUUAGUGAUCCGGUGGUUCUGAAUGGAAGGGCCAUCGCUCAACGGAUAAAAGGUACUCCGGGGAUAACAGGCUGAUACCGCCCAAGAGUUCAUAUCGACGGCGGUGUUUGGCACCUCGAUGUCGGCUCAUCACAUCCUGGGGCUGAAGUAGGUCCCAAGGGUAUGGCUGUUCGCCAUUUAAAGUGGUACGCGAGCUGGGUUUAGAACGUCGUGAGACAGUUCGGUCCCUAUCUGCCGUGGGCGUUGGAAGAUUGAGAGGGGUUGCUCCUAGUACGAGAGGACCGGAGUGAACGCACCACUGGUGUUCGGGUUGUCAUGCCAAUGGCAUUGCCCGGUAGCUAAGUGCGGAAGAGAUAACCGCUGAAAGCAUCUAAGCGGGAAACUUGCCUCGAGAUGAGUCUUCCCUGUCACCUUGAGUGACCUAAAGGAACGUUUAAGACUAAGACGUUGAUAGGCUGGGUGUGUAAGCGUAGCGAUACGUUGAGCUAACCAGUACUAAUGAACCGUGAGGCUUAACCUG
rnacentral:rRNA from 1 species